CUAUUUAGAAAAGACGUUUGAGGAAUGGCAAGACGAAAAGUUUGGAUUUGUUUAUGUUAUUACUUACGUUGGUAUGGUUACAUUUGAUUUCGUCGAAGAUCAUUCGUUGCGCUCAAACUGUUAGUCUUGCUUGAUUCCACCAAAAUCGGGGGAUAUUUUCUGUAGAAAAAAUUAAUAUGUUUGAAUGCGUGACUACUCCGUGGUAGAGAAAACUACAAUUGGGGUCACAGCAUCAAUCACUUCAAUCCAGUGAUUCUGGU